UAGCCGUAAACGAUACUCGCUAGGUGUCGGCCACGGUGCGACCGUUGUCGGUGCCGUAGGGAAGCCGUGAAGCGAGCCACCUGGGAAGUACGGCCGCAAGGCUGAAACUUAAAGGAAUUGGCGGGGGAGCACAACAACGGGUGGAGCUUGCGGUUUAAUUGGACUCAACGCCGGACAACUCACCAGGAGCGACGGUUACAUGAAGGCCAGGCUGAUGACCUUGCCUGAUUUUCCGAGAGGUGGUGCAUGGCGUAGUCGUGU
rnacentral:rRNA from 1 species